GACAUGACAUAUUUUUGCAAACAUAUAUUUAUCAUACUUGAUAAAACAAAUGGAAGUUUUUAACGACCUUGACUGGCUAUACAGCCCUUGCACGGGCGGCAUUUGAAAAAGAAAAAAAAUAUAAAAAAAAAUAGCUUCUUAUAUAUAAGGAUUUUAAAAUAGAAAUUUAUCUCUAUGAGUUUGAUUGGUCAAAGUAAAUUAGUAGUUUUCCAAGCCCGGGUUACAAGUUUAUCACCGUCACUGUUCAUUGAUUAGUGUAAACAGUUAAGAUAAACAAUAGAUCAAAAUAUGUAAUAGUAAGAAUAUUCAAUAGAAAUACGUGACAUUUUCCUUUAUUAAUCACAAUAUAUCCAAGUUAUUUCAAAAUGUUUUUUCAAAACAAUCGACAUGUGCUCUCUGACUCAGACAGCUAAAAUGAAACCACCAUAUCUAAUUUAUGCUUUAUAUACGUCUCCAAAUAUAGACAAAAUAGCAACUUCCAUAUCGGGAAUGACAGCU
rnacentral:lncRNA from 1 species